UACAGAGGUCUCAAGCGUUGUUCGGAUUCAUUGGGCGUAAAGGGUGCGUAGGCGGCUCGGUAAGUCGGGGGUGAAAUCUUGGAGCUUAACUCCGAAACUGCAUUCGAUACUGCCGUGCUUGAGGACUGGAGAGGAGACUGGAAUUUACGGUGUAGCGGUGAAAUGCGUAGAUAUCGUAAGGAAGACCAGUGGCGAAGGCGGGUCUCUGGACAGUUCCUGACGCUGAGGCACGAAGGCCAGGGGAGCAAACGGG
rnacentral:rRNA from 1 species